rnacentral:rRNA from 1 species
UACGUAGGGUGCAAGCGUUAAUCGGAAUUACUGGGCGUAAAGCGUGCGCAGGCGGCUUUGCAAGACAGAUGUGAAAUCCCCGGGCUCAACCUGGGAAUUGCGCUUGUGACUGCAAGGCUAGAGUGCGUCAGAGGGGGGUAGAAUUCCACGUGUAGCAGUGAAAUGCGUAGAGAUGUGGAGGAAUACCGAUGGCGAAGGCAGCCCCCUGGGACGUGACUGACGCUCAUGCACGAAAGCGUGGGGAGCAAACAGG